rnacentral:lncRNA from 1 species
CAAACACCAUCACACCACUAUUGACUAUCUAGUCCUCCUCCUCCUCCUCCUCUCGCUCACCAGCCGACUUGUCACCGGUGGUCUGACCGCCCUUUUUCCCCAUCUCCUUGUACCCUUCAGUUCCCAGCUGGUCUUUCCUCGUUUGUCCUCCCUUGCUCCGCCCUUCACCAACACGAAACACAAAAGUACAUGCAUAUAUUAUUAUGCAUCACUGUAACUAUAAAUAAACUAAUGUGAAUUCGCAAAAAAGCUACUGAAAGGGUGGACUCUACCCACACCGUCGUAGCUAGGGGCGUAGGUUAGAAGAGGGGGAGGGGGUGUGUGUGCCAGACCCCGAACUUUUCGCUCAGGUAUGUAGCUUUUGUAUAAAAAUUUUUGAGUAUAUACGUUUUCGACCCCCGGUUCUAUAGAAAUUUUUGGGUAUAUACGUUUUCGACCCCCAAUCGGAGAUCUCAAGCUUCACCACUAGUCGUAGAACGACGGGUUUGAGCUUGAAUCAAACUGCGGCCGUUUGAGGUACUUUAUGUUAAAUCACGAGCUCCGAUACUUCAUCUUAAAUCAUGGCCCCCUUGUAGGUGUUAAAAAAAUCGGUUUAUGACCGAAACCGGUUUUUUUUUACCGCUUCUUUUGUUUUUUUUUUUUUUAAAAACCAGUUUCAACCCGAACCGAACUGGCGGUUUGCAUACCGGUUAGUAUUAUUGAUCUUCAAAACCAGUUUAAAAAAACGUUUUUUGUCCUAUACCGUUUCUUUUUUAAAAAAGAAAAAAAAACCAGUUUCAACCCGACAGUUUGCAUACCGGUUAGUACUACUGAUCUUCAAAACCAGUUAAAAAAACGUUUUUUGUCCCAAAUCGGUUACCGAAUCUACUAGUACCAGUUCGACUGCCCACCAUGUAAAACCAGUUAAAAACCGAACCGCUAUUUUUAGAAACCAUUUUCGGUCCGGUUAAAACCGGACCCUUUUUUAAAGGGAUUUGUACACCUCUAGGCCCCUUAAUCUUAUUCAAAUAUGUAUGUCAAAUCAUGGGCCCCUAAAUAUUCGGGUUGCCGUUUGCGUAAAUAUCAAACGGUCAUCCCCAAUACCAAUACGUAUGUAAAUUUAAAUAAAUAAGCAUAUACCUUCAGCAAGACGUUCUUGAGCCUCAAGAGAUUUGCCACGAGUACCACCCGGAACAACGGUCUCGCCUUUAGCUGCUCGUUGGUCGAGAUCCUUCUUCUCCUGUUCCGGAAUUUUGCGUGUUUGUUGUCCCUGUUGUGAUGCCAUUUUGUUCACUCUUUUGUGAAGUUAUGUUGUACAAUUGAGGGUGCUAAGAUGCAUGUAAUUUUGAUAUUAGCAUGCAUGUUGGCACGUGGUAUGAUGAGGUGGUGGCAAGGGUGA